CUUAGUCUUUCGAUAUUCUAAAAUAGAAUAAAAAUCACAUUUCUUUUAAAGAAAUGUAGAACGAAAAAACAACCAAAUUAAAAAAAAACCAAAACGAAAAAAUAGACAAAAAAGCAAAAACAUUUUUUUCUUUUUUCAAUUUUUAAUUGUUUUUUCUUUUUACGAAAAAAAAAAACUCACAGAAACCAGAAUUAAAUUGAAUUGAAUUCAAUCAAACUAGCCAUAACUAACUCUCUGAUUUUUUUCCUAAUUUACCUGAGCGAAUAACACACAACAUCAUCAAGACCUGGACAUCAACAAGACAAUCUCUUAAAACAGGAAAAUCAUAGCAAUCCAGAAUCAAUUGGACUCCAACGCAGCUAAAUUUUGAUUUAAAUUUUUCACCAACCUGAUAUAAAACCACACUCAUAAAGACGUCUCAUCAUUUUAUUUUAAUAUAUUUACUCUCCCUUAUAAUUUAAUUUACCAAAUUUUUUUCAUUUUUCACCCUUUAAUUGUUCAAUUCAAUUCAAUUCCAGUCCUAACAAUUCUUGUAAUAUUUCAUUUUUGUAAACGGUAGCGGAAACCGUAAUUUUAUGGCACUGUACUACGAGUGCGGUGUCCGGAUUCAUUCUUCAUAUGUUCGAGUGAAUCCGUUUGGGAUUAGCGGUAUCCUUAUUCCUGUAACAAGGUGAAAUUAAUUAAUAAACCAUUGAUGAACUCCAUUGAAUUAGCCAUUGGCCAAGAUUAAUAAACUAUUACUAAUACUCUUUAAUUGAAUGGAGAGGAAAAGAUAAAAAUCAAAAUUUAACUUUCAAUGGUGACAAUCAAGUAUGUGUUAGUCUUUGUACCAAAUGAUGUUAAAGGGUAUUUAAAAUGGAAAACUAAUUAAGUGAAAUUGAUAUUGCUCGAGAUAUCCUUUUUGUCAUGAAUAGUUUAAUGUUACAACUCAAAAAAGGAAGACGUAAAGGAGUCACCAGUUGGAAUCAGCAAUCAAAAAAAUGUCACCGGUUAAACGCAUCAAAUCUAAAUAUCUAAUAAUCUGUUAGGGAGCCUAUACAAUUAGUAAUGAAGGGUAAAACAUCGAAGCAACUAAAUACUACAUUUGGAACAACACUGAAAAUCAGAUCCAAGCAUAUUGAAUAUUCAUCAAUUGCAUCUAUUAAUACAAGAGAGGAAAAUGAUAUUUUUGGGUAGAUCAUCGAUUAUUCCUGGAAAAUUCGAGUUACAUAUGUGAAUGCUUAUUCCAAUAUGGCUAAAUUUUACAAGCUAAAUGACUUAAUCAUAAAUUUAGCAAAAUUUGUAGUCAUUAGUUUACUAUUAACUAAUGUAGAAGGCCAAACUAUCUGUAUCAUAGUGUUGGUAAAAGUUCGUGUGAAGAUAAAAUUCAAAUCUUAAAUGUAACUGUAAAUCGACGAAGUUUAGAUUUUGCUAUUUUAACAUGAAAAUAACUAAAGGUUUUUGCAAAUUCUUAUGAUCAUCAUGUUUGAGUUUGAA